CAGAGAUGCUAGAGGGACUACGGAGCAACUAUACACACAUUCAGUGAUGCUACAGCAACAAUUAGGUAAUUUCUCUUAUAAGAUUUCUGCAACACACCAAACAUGGAUGACAAGAAUGAAGGACAAGGUUAUGGCUCAUCAAUUUUAAGUCACUCCCGGUCUAGUCCUGUCACAUCAAUCUCCGAUCUGCUCUGUUCUCUGCCCAGUUCACCUGUGCCUGCAGUGCAACCCUCUCUGGUCCUGGAUGUCUACAGGUUUCUGACUCAUGCCUCAAGGUUUCUGCGCUUGCAUCUCUCCUCUGGAUUUGUUGAUCUUUCCUGGACUCAUUCUGGUUAUCUUUUCACCUGGCCUUUGACUAUGCUCACCUAUCAGCCAUGUACAGAGCCCAAUUUUGUUCAAUAAAUGUUCUGAAUUGCC